AGCCCCACUGCAUCACCCCUUCCUCCUCACCCUCCUGGGGGACAUGCACCACAGUUUGGGGCCACUGGGUUAAAAGGUGGAAAUGUAAUUGGGGUAGGAGGGUGCAUAACUCUAUUAUAAUCCCCUUCUUCCUGCACCUCCACCUCAUCUUAAAUCUGCUGAAUCAUACUCCAGAGUUCUGUCUUUUUUUCCAGGACUUCUCAGAAAGCAUUACACAGAGUUAAACCUCGGGGCUAUUGUAUGCAGAUUUUCACCCCCCAACUGCUAACUGGCUUCAUAUCAAACAGUGAAUAUGUAUGGGGCCUGCAAGACUUCACAAUGAAACCUUCAUAGACAUUUUUAGUAGGCUUUUCUGAAACUGUAUAUUAACAGUCACCCUAAUUCUGGAUGUUUCUAGACCACUGUCCUGCCCUCUGCACGUCUGCAGAGAAACCAAGGGGAAGGUCUACACUACGGGGAUCAAUCGACCGAAGUUACACAACUCCAGCUAUGUGAAUAACGUAGCUGGAGUCGACGUUCCUUAGAUCGACCUUUUGCGUUGUCUACACUACGCUGGGUCGACAGCAGAAUCUCUCCUGUCAACUUACCUCAUGCUUCUCAUUCCAGUGGAGUACCGGAGUCGACGGGAGAGUGAGCGGCGGUCGAUUUAAGACCCACUAAAUCGACCCCUGGUGGAUUGCUCACCGCACAUCAAUCCCUCGGUAAAUGGAGAUAAGCCCCAAGUAUUCAAACUAAAAGCGCUCUCUCCUUCCUUUGGACUAAAAAAAUAAGUCAAAUACUGAAGUAUAAAGCAGGGUUACAGAAACAUGGGACUUGGUUAGGUACCUGAACUCCACAUGGGAUAUAUAUGACUUCUGUUUCCUGAAAACUGGAGCAGGAAGCCAGAGAGGAAGAGGGCUGGGUAUAGGUCUAGGCAGAAGCUCUAAAAUGAAACAGUAGCUUUAGGGGUAAUGCUGUUUUCCUUAUUCUGACAGUGUUCUUUGAUCAGUGUUAGAAGAAAGCAACUCUUUAUGUGAUUCUUUAAUAUUGUCUUCUCUCUGGGACUUUGCUGCUGUACUUAUGUAAAAUGUCAUCUAAGCAGUGAAGAGAGAAAGAUUUGUCUGCAACCUGAAAUUACCAGCAGCCACCAUAAUAUGACUUCUCAAGUUUGCUUUGCUUCAGUCACUACUGAGGGGCUCUGAGGUGUGGUAUUAUUACUAUCUGGUGGCAUUAGUUAAUUGUGAAGCAGUACCCACAGAUAAUCUUAAUGCCUUGACUAGUUUUAUUCUGUGAAGAGAGACACAGCAACAUCCAGGGAUUACACACACUAUAGAUUUGAUUUUUUUUUUUGCCAUGAGCAAUUAAGCACAUAGCAAAACAUCUAAUUUCUAAUAUUUCCAUUUUUCAUGUCAUCUGUUUGCUUCCAAACAUCUGUACAAAACUUUUCCCGUUCCCACCCUACAUGUUGCUGAAACAAGACUGGGCUAAAGAUCCUAAUGUCAAUAAAAAAAAGUGUGACCUUUGA